AUCGCUUCUCAGCCUUUUGGCUAAGAGCAAGUGUAGUAUCUGCUCUUAUCAGUUUAUAAUCUGAUACGCCCCCUAGCUGUGGGCCAUAAAUUAAAUGGAUUUUUAGAACAGGGAGAUGGAAGGAGAGCUUGCUCUAUCCACUCUACACAUUAACCUGGUAUUGCAGUACCUCCAGGACCGGUGCACCAAAA
rnacentral:snRNA from 1 species